rnacentral:lncRNA from 1 species
CUGACAUCUCUUCUUCGAUGCAAAGACCUGAACAAUUUUUAUUCCUUUAUAGAUGAUCGGUAACAACUACUAAUUACACGUCACAGUACAUAGCACGGUCAUCCAUCACACACAAGCAGGAGGCAUAGGCUAGGUAGGACAAAGCAUCGAUGGCUGGUUUUCAAAAUGAAAGGCCUCCAGGAUCUCACUUUGAACAGCUUGCAUGGCAAAAUUCAGGAAAGGGUUUGCUGACGGCUCCCGCCCACAGAUUUGAUGACAUGCGUACGUGAAUGUGCAAGACGCAUCUGUGAUUUUACGGAGUUUGCUGUACCAACCAGUCGGGUCUUGCGGUGCGGUGGCGGCGGAGUUCUGGAGUGGUCGCACCCAGGGCACUUGUGGCGCCCGGACCCGGGGAUCGGUGGCGGGGGAACCACUCCUGGACGGCCUCCUUCUGGAAGAUCUGCAAUAAUAUAUACACAUGUAUUACUAACUACUCAUCAUUUAACUCUAACUCCAUGCAAAUACCCAGAGCUUGCAUGAAGGCCGACCUAGAACAACAUUACGUUCUUCUCCUAAUGCUUACCUAUUGUCAAGUGAAAAAUCUGAUGCUUACCUUGGACGGCCGCCGAGCAAGGAAGGCUGAAGUAUAUGAACAUGAUAGCCAGGAUUGCCACGGCUACUGCCAUGGAAGAAGAAGAUGAGGAGCGCUUCAUAAUCUUCUUGUGUUUCUACUCUUAGUGUCUGUAAUUAAACAUGUAAUUUUGUGGACUAUGCAAGUGGCCAGAUUGCCUUACCUUGGGAAUGAGCUCGUUAGUCCAUAUAUAGAGACGAGACGUUAAGAGUGUUAGUUCUACAUUCGAGAUUUGUCAUUGAGGCUCUCGUUCUCAGGGACUCUGAUAUGGUCAAAGUCUACUCCCGGUCAAUAGGGACAUACCUGGAACCUUAUGACCAUGUUAGGUGGAGAAGAUAGAGCCUUCAAUAUUUUGAGAGCCCGCAACAUAUGACCGUGUGGAAGCUUGUGCCAUCACGUGGCAUAUUUUGUUGUAAUGUCUUGGUCAAGAUAUCAACACGGUCAAGCCUAUUAUCCUUUUGCUGAUACACAAUGUCGUGUAAAUUGUGACUUUGUAAUCCUUUGAUGCUCUUUGACUAAUGUAGACGCUAUGACAUACUGUGUUGAGGUCUGUUAUGGGAGGUUUGUUGAAAACAAUACGAGAAGGCUGCUUUCUGAACGCAAGACAAUCAUAAGGGGCAAUGAUCAAACUAAUACUAACCUCAGUGAUGCAAAACUUAUUCGCUGGAUCUGUGAGAGGUUGUUGCCUGCAUGGGCUAAGCAUGGUAGUAUGACACCAGCGAUAUACUCAUUCCUGUACCAUCACAAAUUAUUUCCCCUAAAAGAGCAAAAUUAAACCUUUCCACAUGACAAUCAUAAAAAAACAGUUGCUCUAAGCUGUAACAUGUGCAGAUGGCCAGAUUGUGUUGCAUUGGGAAUUACUCUCCUCGUCUACCUUUCUUAGCCCCUCCCGAACUUGAGCCUAAAUGUCACAAACAAAACAUAAGUUAUAUGGCACAAAAAGUAUAUCCUUUGAUUCAUAUUACAAAUCAAGUUUUCAAUGAUUUACUUUCCGUUGGGAUAUAACUUAUGGUUUAAUAGUUAAAUUUUAGGUCAAAAUUAGGCUCCAAUUUGAGGGCAUUAUUAACUCGAACGGAGGGAGUAGCUAAAACGUCAACAAUGUUAGUUGGUUUUAUAUUCAAGGAGGCUCUCAGCUUGAGGAUCUCCGAUAUGGUCAAAGCCUACCGGUCAACAGAUAUACUUUGAAGUUGGAACCUUAUGAUCAAGAUAGGUGAGGCAAAUAGAACAUCCAAUAUUUUAAGGAGCUCACAUCAUCAUAGCCUCUGAAGCAUGUGGAAGCUUGUGCCAUCCUGCAACUUAUUUUGUUGUCAAGUACUCCCUCUGUUUUUAUUUACUCCGCAUAUUAGCUUUGGUCAAAAUCAAGCAUUGUAAACUUUGACAAAGUUUAUAGACAAAAAUAUUAACAUAUCCAAUAACAAAUUAAUACUAUUACAUUCAUUAUUGAAUGUACUUCCACAUCAUAUAGAUUUGUUAUGGUAAAUAUUUAUAUUCUUUUCUAUAAACUUGGUCAAACUUUAGAAAGUUUGCGUUCAGUCAACUCUAAUAUGCGGAGUAAAUAAAAAUAGAGGGAAUAUAAAUUGGAUUAUCAACACGGUCAAACCCAUUAUCCUUUUAAUGAAAGUUAAUGUACCUUACUUGUCAAUUUGUGUAAAAUGUAAUUAUUAAUCCUCGGUUAACUUGAACGUAUGCAUCUAUUAAUAAGCAUUGCUUUCUCAAAAGAUUUUUUAAUUCAUAGCCAAAAGCCAACCUAUAGUUGGGUGGUGGUUGCACCCCCUGCACACCAAGAAUCAAACGAAACAUGCACCUUAAUCUUAGAAGUGCAUGCAGAGACAGGGGCCACCAUUCAGGGAGACAAGCAAACAUAUUACUCUCUUCGAUCCAUUUUACUCUGUGCAUAACAUUGGACUCGUAUACCAAUGAAAGGACGCAUUCGGUUUUUUUAGACUAAUUUGCACAAUUGCAUGUAAGGGAACUUGGGUUGUUGUUAACCUGCAUGCAGCGAUUGGUUCUCCAUGACCAUCGCUGAUCUCCUCAAUUCAUGUUUCGGUUUCUCUCUCCUGCAAUGCAUGGCGUGCAGAACAAAGGCUAUUAUUAGUUUGGUUGGUUGCAAGCAAGCGGAAUACUAGGGGGCAUAGGAAAGAAUCGGUGAAAUAGGCAACACACGAAGUAAAUCAGAAAAAGAGGGGAAAGUUAUUCGCAGAGUAAAAUAGAUCUGAGGGAGUAUAAUGCACUUCACACAAGAACGCAAAAAGAUGUUGGAUUUUGUUUUAGUGCUAACUCUAAUAGCUAAUUUUUUUUGUGGUUGAGCUCUAGCAGCUAAUAUUUACAUGCUUAUAAACUUAUGAGGUGAAUAAAAUUAAAAUAAAAGAAUAUGUAUCUAUCAGAUGACAUAUUGUACAAUGGACACAAUUGUCUUAUCUUCUGUUCAAGAUAUCAUCACUUUACAACAAGAAAACAACACAUUUUGUUUCCGUUUCUCUUUCUUCUAGAUCAACAAUCAUCCUAUGUGGUACUAGCAAGAUAGCUCUAUUGUAGAUAACCUAAUACCCUUAAACUAACUCAUCUUCCCAAUGGUAGGUCCAUCAUGGGGUCGCUCAGUAUGACAGUGUGGACCGAUGACCUGGCAUUUUUGUUUGCGCCAAAACACAACCAAGCAGGAUUGGUUUGGCUGGUAUUCAUGGCUCAUGCUAGAUUUUUAUUUCUUGUGUCUCUAUGUGGGGAUCAGAUUUGGACUUGAAAUUUAUAAAAGGUCCAAAAUAUAAAUACUUCAUUAGAAAAAUCCCAAAAAGUGAAUCAUUGUGCGUGUAUGAAACUGUAUGGUGAGCCCCAAUAUGAAGAUCUUUUUUUCGAAAAGGAGGAUUACCCCGGCCUCUGCAAUGAAGAUUUCAUAGAAUCCCUGUUAUAUCAGCAUACUUAGCCAUGGUGUAGAUAAUCGUGUAUUUUCUGCAUUGGGAGGUAACGAGUUUGAGUCCCCUCUUUGCACGUUCUUUUUAUUUAUCAGGAUACGCAAGACACAAAACUAGUUCAAGCCUUAUCUAUAACUACUCUCUCUGUUUCUAAAUAUAAGCCGCUCUACAUAUUUCAAUAUGGACUAUAUACGGAUGUAUAUAGACAUACUCUAGAGUGCAGAUUCACUCAUUUUGCUUCGUAUAUAGACCAUAUUGGAAUCUUUAAAAUGUCCUAUAUUUAGGAACGAAGGGAGUAGUUUAGAAGAAUUAGAAUUCAAAAUUAUUAUAAAAAAAUUCCAAAAUUUGUGGUAUUUCUUGGUUACCAUAAAAAACGGUGAGUUCCGAAUCCAAAUGUUAGCAAUCUUCCCUAUUAUCGUCGUGGGCUGGACCAUGGGCUUCCCCUACUGGGCUUGGGCUUCUCAAAAGUCACAGAACGCAACAAGUACAUAUAUACAAGGGAAUUGACUAUAGACAAGUCGGUUGAUUAGGAUGGCUGAGGCCUCCUCGCUCUUGUUUCCUCUUCCUGGUGUUCCUCAGCUCCUCUGAAUCAAUGGCUUGUAGUUCAAAUCAGUGAGCAAUUGAUCUAUGUACUAGUGUGCUGCUAACACUAGAAACUUGGUCUCAUGUAGAUCCUUCUGUUUAACUUUUUUCAAAACGGAGUCCAUGGCCCAGCCUUGGCCCUUCUAUUUUCUGAUGAGCAUGUAUGAAUGGACCAUGCACAAGGCACGACUCACUUUUAUGAAUGGAGUAUAUAGUUUCACUAUAGUUUUUUCAUGCACCGUAAUAACAUGCUAUCUAGAUAUUGUUUAUACAAUUGUAAGAACGAUUCAACCAUAUUCGUUAAUUAUUUGUUUUCCAGAGUCUAACUUAUAUCCCAGUCGCACAAACACCCUUUCAGACAGUGUGAUUCGAAGACGACAAGGAAAAUCUUGAAAUAACCGAGAGAUCGACAUGGCGCAGCAAGAAAAAGAGACCCUGUCCUCAUGGCAUCGGUGGUGCUUCGUACAUUAGGGGCACGUUGGCAGCUGCUCGCUGCAGGAUCUUGCGGUGCGGUGCUAGUGUCGCUGGUGGCGUAGUGUCAAGGUGGCGACAUCCAUGGAUGCAGCUAAUGGAUGGCCGGGGCCGCGGCGAUGGAGGACCCAUUCCUGGGCGGAAACCGUCUGGAUGAACUGCAUACAUGAAGCCAUGGGUAGAUUGUUGGAACUGCUCAUAAUACUACUGCCAAACAAAAAAAACUUAAUAUUUACCUCGGGUUGCCGUCGAGCAUGGCAGGAAGUUGCAUAGUAAUAAAAUAGCCCUUCAUGAUGUUCUAUUGAAUUAUCUCCCUUGGGAAUGAGCUCAUCAGUCCACAUAUAUACACAUGGAUGAAACGCGGUAUGCUCAAUAAUAGUCUUCACGGAGGCUCUCGUAGCGAUGGACAUGGACUCCAAUACGGUCAAGUCUUCGGUCAACAGGGACAUAUUUGGAGCCUUAUGUCCAUAUUAUUAGGUGGGACAGAUAGAACCUCCAAUCCAAUAUUCUGAGGAGCAAACAAGCAAGUCACGUGCCACCAACUCUAAAGAGUAAGAGCAUCAUAAGCAAGGUACAUGUGAGGUAUGUUUUGUUAACUCUCCGUCGACCGACAAUUUCUCAGCGCUUACUAGAUGUUGAGAAGCAUUGAUGCUGAGAUCUGUUAAGUAUUCCACAUUUUUUUAACUCUGAGACCAAAUAUUAUAAACUCUUAUAUCGGAUGAGCCUUGGAUGGCCAACUUUUUUUUUAAACUGAGUGAACAAUUUUGUAAAGUUGAAUGAAAUUUAAAAUUUCCAGUCGACUAAGAUGAUAGUAAUUUUGCACUAAUUAAACAUAUUAUUGACACACGCUGAACACUCUUUUAGAACUACAUGAACACAUUAGUAAUCUUAACUGAGAAAUAAGAUGUCCGCCGAGACGGCUAGACGUGGACAUCUCUAGUAGACUGGUAGUAGUUGCUUUCAUCACAAAGAAAAAAACGGCAGCUCAAGCAGGCGAAAUGAUUAAAAAAAAAGUGUGUGCAAAGACUUGGCAAGCCACCAUAGAGGGAGAUGAGAACCAUUAUUAUCUAAAAGAGGACAAAAACAUCAUCGUCACCCAGUUAGUGCAUUGCAUCUGAAACAAGAUUCUGUUCCAUUUUCAGAUGAUCUGAAACCGGUGUUAUUUCCACACGGUCAUACAUUAUACACACGCAAGAGGCAGAGCCAUCGAUCACAACUUGGACACCAUGCGAACGCGACCGCGCGAGAUGGACCGGCGAUUUUACGGUGUAGUGUUUGGUGUACCAACCAGCAGCAGAGUCUUCCGGUGCGGCGCAUGCGACGGUGUCUUCGCCGGUGACAUGCUGGCCGGGCGGUCGCAGUCCGGGCACAUGUGGUAAGUAAAGGGCUAAUACUUAGUGCGUGCGUGUGCAUACCUUGAACCGCCGCCGAGCACACCGCGGAAAGGCACAUGGCGGCGAUGAUGGCCACGGCGGAGAAGCGCAUCGUUAUUUUCCCUGCGCUAGUAGGCUUGCCGGUGCAACAACGGAGUCGGGGAUGGUGAUCAUCAAUUAGUACUGUGCCUUUGGAACUACGUACGUCACUGCCAAGCAUGUCUAUAUAAACCUUAGCUAGGCUGGUCAUGAAGUAUGGUCAAAGUCAAGGGUAGCUUACCCGCAAAAAAAAAAGUCAAGGGUAGCUAGCUAGGAUAUGCCCAGAUGCAGAGGCCGGAGGUCUAUCCUCCUUUUAAAAAAAAAAAAUCAGCUACGAUAUGUCAUAUGUGUAUAGAAGCGUUAGGCUGAACACGUGUACAGCAUGCACGUAUGCUCACUUAAGUUUUCAUGGUCAAUGUUUAACCAUAUAUUUUUCCUCGUGGAUAUGGUAUGUUACGGUUUUUUCUAUUCUUUACAAAACACAAUACAUAGCAAAUGCUAUCUUGCGGAUCAGAUCUGGGCCCGAGGCAGGCGUGACUCUCACCCCUAAGGUUGGGUGCGGUCCGGGUGGUGCCCGCAGGCAUUGAGGUCCCUCUUCUCGUGGGAGUGAAAGUAGAUGCCUUUUACUCCUACUGUAGAUGCUCACGGGCGCGCUAUGUGUCACUUGCAGUGGCAAGGCUCCGAUAUAGAUUUGGAUAUCUCGAUUCAUCGCGCUUGUUCUGGAAGCCUUGCGGUGGAAUGGAGAGUUGCUGAGCGAAAAGUCCACUUUUUGUCGCCGACGACAGCGGCGCUCACAGGCGCCGCUCUCUUCUUGAAGACGUCGUGGUGGUUCACCUCUCCUUGUCUAGGUUCGGGUGAAAAUAUCUGUCCGACUGUGGACUCAGCAGUGGCAAUGCCUAGCGUCAUUCUCCCUCCUGAGGGUGUUGUCGUGGAGCUUAGGUGUUAUAGGGGGUAGCAUGAAGUUGUACUUAGUUUUUCUUAUGCUCUCUUUUGAUAAUGUAGUCGUGUACAUCCCGCGUGACCCGGUUCUCAUUGGAUCGACAUUGUAUGAGGGCUACCUCAUCAAGUUGUAUCGUUCGGCGGUGUACUUUGUUCGGUGUUGCUUUGUAUAUAAAGCGGGGCAAAAGCUUGUUUCAAGAUAAUUAAUUGCUUAUAUGAAAAGUAAUAAUUUCGUAUAAAAACGGCAAAAAAUAGGGAAGGAGGGGGAGGGGACAAAAUAUAAGAAGGCCUUGCAAAUUGGAGCACUACUGCACUAGUAAGAAACCCUGCCUUGAAUCGGUUAAUGUUCGCUCUCGAACACCUGCUAUAUGGCAACACCCCACUAGCAAGAGACACAAAUGUUUAAACAAAACGUCGUGGAUCACAUCGCACAUUACAACCAAAAAGCAGCACUUGCUCUAAACAUGGAAGGAUCAUCCCAAACCACCAGCGGGAAGACUAGCUGAAAUUUCGGUAACCGCUUGCGGUGCCAGGUGAACACCAUGGCAGGAGCCGUCACACCACCUGUGGUUCCACGGCGUCUUACCCUGUGGCGCCGGAGGGGCCCGUCCUACUUGGUUUCCUCCUCCUCUCCCCAGACCACCCCCCGAUAAACAACAUUCCCUGAUGCCAUCGCAACAACUUAUAUAUCAAAACAAACGGAGAGCACAUCUAGAGCUACCAGGGUCAUCCACUUGAAAUAUAUAGACACAAAGACAGAUGCAUGGUGACAUUCCUUUGCAAACGGCAGAGCAUGCAUGGGAAUGGCAGCAGGGAGCUGCAGCACACGAUGAACAGGAGAAUUGCCACGGCGCGUGCGAGCGAGGACGGAGAAGAGGAAGACCGCUUCAUGGUCGAUCGGAUGAGCUUGUCUGCCCAGCUUCAGUUCUCAAGCACUGAUUAGAUCUCUCUUUGUGGACGGGUCUCUCCAUCUAGUUAAGUACUCUAACAGCGACGGCAAGUUCUCUGCACAUCUUGAUUGAUUAACAUAAUGUAAUCACGAUCAUCGAUGCCGCCAUUGAACAAGUCGAGCUAAUAGCUGCUCGGAGGCUCCGAGUCAAGUACUCAUAGUCGUCCGUGUCGACACUCACAAUCUUUGCAUCUCAAUCACAGUUGCUGGUAAGUGUAAGUAACAUGGAAUUCGUUCAUCGCAUCCGCUACAAGCUGCCAGUUCUAGAUGCUGUACUACUUCAGCCUUGUAAACUGUCCACUACAACCUUGUAAACUGAAACCUAUAUUUAAGUAAGACAUCGCAAAAUAAUAAACAAGAUGGGACCUAUAUUUAAGUAAUCACGAUCUUCGAAGGACCCAAGUGCCGCAGCGGAAGCGUGGUGGGCCCAUAACCCACAGGUCCAGGAUUGAAACCUGGCCCAAAUAAAAAAAUUAUUUGGGCUUUUAAUUUCUUCUCUUCGGCCCAUUUACUUUCAGACAGGGCUUCAGUUUGUCUGUUAGAUCCAUUCUUAUUUCCAUCCAAUACUGCGACUGAUUCUAAACAAAAACAAAUCCAAUUUUGUGACUGCUUUAGUUCCGAUCAUAAGGUUGACUUUGUUUCUCUACAAAAAAAUCAGGUUGACUUUGCAAGUUUCAAACUGAGUAGAUUUUCUGUAAGGCUCAUUCUUAUUUCCAUCCAUUUUUGCCGCUGCUUUAGUUUGGAUCAUCAGGUUGACUUUGUAAGUUUCAAACUGAGCUUCAGUUUUUUCUGUUACGCCCAUCCUUAUUUCCAUCCAAUUUUGCCGCUGCUUUAGCCUUGAAUUAUCAGGUUGACUCAGUAGAUUUUUUUUGUAGGUAACAUCCAAGUGUAUUAAAAACAGGGCUCAACCCAGAUUACAUUCAGUUUCACACAGAGAGGUAAUUGCUCAGGCACACUCGCCGGUGGAAGGAAAUCUCCCUGCACUCUAGCAUAGGAAGCAAGUUCGUUGGUGGCCCUGUCGCAUUGUCUACUUAUCUUUCCGACAUCGCAUGCGGAAAAUCUCUUGACAGCAGCUUAGCCUCCUAAUCGAUGCUCCACCACUUUGUUCUUCUGACAUCACCAGAGUUGAUGACACUAAUAUAACGACUGCGGAUUCAAUAAUGAGUGGCCCCUUGUGGAACUGGCCUGUCAUCUCGGCAGCGAUCAUCGGCACAUGACACUCGUGCACCCAGCAUUGUUCCAAAAUUGAUGAUUGUUAGUGGAGAUUACUUGCUAUAUAGGAUUCAAAGAAUAUCUUCUCCUACUAAAUACCAACACAUUAACUCGGUGUCCCGGGCAGAACAGUGACAAAUCGGCUAAUGGGUACUACUAAACCCCUAGAAAUGGACCAGGAGCUCCGAAUGGUUUCCUUUAGAAAAACAGCCUCCGGGAAGACCAGCAGCAAUCGGCUUCCAGUAAUCGCUAGUGGCGCCAUAUUUAGGCCAUACAUUGCAGGACCCGUCACAUCACCUGUGGUUCUGCGGUGUCUUACCCCGUGGCGCCGGAGGCGUCCGUCCUACUUGGUUUCCUCCUGCUGCCACACCAUUCGGACCAACGUAGGGUUGGUCUCCUCCCCGUGGCACUCCCUGCCCACCCAACUGAUGAACUACAUUUUCUCCUCCCCUUGGCCCGGUCCCAGCCCCCUGACCAAAGUUGCCAAAUGCACGCCCUGAUGCCAUCGCAACAAAUUAUGUGUCAAAAUGGGCAUCCACUUCCAAAAUAUAAGAACUAGAACUCACGCGUGGUUGCGUACCUUUGCAAACGGCAGAGCAUGGGCAUGGUAGCAGGGACCAGCAGCAGACGAUCACCAGGGUGAUUGACAUGGCGCGUGCGAGGGAGGACGGAGAAGAAGAAGACCGCUUCAUUGUCGAUAGGGCGAUCCUGCCUUCCUAGCUUCAGCUCUGCAGAAAUGAUUUGAUCUCUCUUUGUGGCCGGGUUACUCCUCCUAGUGAACUAGUGCUCUAACAGUAGCGACAAGUGUGUCAAGUCAACAGAUUGUCUGCACAUAUAGAUUAACCAAAUGUAAUCACGAUCAAGUGUAGGUAAAUAGCUGCUCGGAGGCCCCAAGUCAAGUCAAUUGCUCAAAGUCGUCCAGGCCGACACUUAAUCUUUGUUGUCAGUGCAUCUUAAUCAUGGUUGCAGGCUUGAAACAGUCAAGCAAAGCUGCUGGCAACUGUAACAUACAAUUCGUACAAGCUGCUACUGCCAGCUGAGCAAUUGUACUACUUGUCUAUUGGAGAUGCUCACUGCAUCCGCAACCCUCAAGGCCUCAACUCAGUGGCACGUUUCGAUCUGGCAUGAAUCGGACUCAUGGGACCAGAAUGCAAGUAUACUCCAAGUUUGCGUUGCACUAAGCAGAGCAAUGUGGCAGUUCACCGAUAAGCAAAAUGGACAUCGCAAUUUCAAUAAGAAACAUCAGAGUGCCGCAGCGGAAAGCGUAGAAGGCCCAUAAUGCAUAGGUCCAAACCAGGCUCUGGUAAUAUUUUCCCCAAUGGGCUGAAUUGUUUUUGCUGUGCUGCGAUAUUUCAUGCGUUGUUCGACCAAUUUUCCAAUGUGAUGAGUUUUGAACUGGACUUCAGUUUUUCGUGUGGUCCAUUUCGAUUUUGUAGGAUUGUUUGGCCCGUUUCUUCUAUCCAUGCAUGUUUAGAACUGAUUCUUGACUUGAAAAAAAGGCCUUGGAUCAAUCCGUUUGACUUUCUUUCUUUCACUACUAAGAAAAGGGCUAUAGAUGGAAUGGCCACUAAUGGCGCACCAGAUAUGUGGUGCGCCAUUGCUAUGUAGCAGUGGCGCACCAGACACGGUGCGCCAUUAGUAACAAAUUUUAUUUUUUUUCAUUUUGCCAGACAUACUAAUGGCGCACCAGGACAUAGUGCGCCAUUACUAGUUGUAACUAGUAAUGGUGCACCAGCAACAUAGUGCGCCACUAAAUUUUAUUUUUUAUUUUUUACUUUUUUGCAAAACUACUAAUGACGCACCCGGGGCAGUGCGCCAUUACUAUUUUAAGCUAGUAAUGGCGCACUGCUCCCCCGUGCGCCAUUAGUGUUUUUUGCAAAACUACUAAUGGCGCACCACCAGCAGGUGCGCCAUUAGUAACCAGGGUUACUAAUGGCGUAUUAUGUGGUGGUGCGCCAUUAGUAACCUGGGACGAGCUAGAUAUUUUGGACAGCCACACCUACCCACUCACUUUCCCCACUUCAUUCUCUUCUCCCUCCUCCAAGCUUGUCUCGGCUGCCUCCUCCUCCUCACCUCAUUUGCACCAUAAAUUCAUCCAAAUUACGUGGUUAAAGCCCCUUUUUUUGAUAAGUAAGUAAGGGGGAAGCUAUCUUUAUGUUGUUCUCCCUCCAACAACGUGCACAUGCACUUUUUAUGUCCUAGCUAGAUCUAUGUAUGUUUGUGGUGUUGCAUAUGUUUGUGGUGUUGCAUAUAUGUUUGUGUUUGCAGGUACCGGUAUUUGAAAUGCGAUAGUUGCAAAUAUUUUGCCGGAAUGUUGAUUCAUUUCCGUUUCGGCGAGAAUUUUGGCACUAUGCAUUCUUUUUGGUCCUAUUUUUAGGGAAAGUCAUGCCAAAUUUUUUUCUUGGUUCUAAAAUAUCGUUUUGCUCUACCCCGCAGGUGACCAUGGUCCGCACGAUGACCGAAGUCAUCGUGAAUAGGUUUUUGAGCUUCGCGAAGGCCGAGAUGCUUGAAAAGAACGAGACGGAGAUAAGAUGUCCGUGUCGAAGAUGCAAGCUGAAGAGCCUUAUUGCGGACCCGGAUUCCAGGCAGGUGCGGGACCACCUGCUCUUGCGUGGUUUCAUGGAUGGCUAUCGGUGGCAAGGUGAUGAAGAUGACUAUGAAGUCGUCCAUGGGGGUCGGGCAAGAAAUGAGGAUGGGCACUGCUCAUGAAAGAAAUGAGGAUGGGCAAGAUGACUAUGAAUACGUGGGACGCCGCAGAGAAAGAAUAUUUCCCUAUGAGAGCCGCACUGCUCACGACGGUGCACGACUAUCUCGGUUUCGGAUAUCUCGCGGGGCAGGUGGUCCACGGAUUUUCUGGAUGUGUCAGGUGCAUGGAUGACACAACGUAUCGCCAGCUAGAUAGAGAUCCCGGGUCUUCGAAAACCGUGUUCAUGGGACAUCGAACGUGGCUUCGCGACGAUGACCCGUGUAGGAAACGCAAGGAUCUGUUCGAUGGUGAAACCGAACCCCGAAGACGCCCGCGUACGAGGAGCGGCGAGGAAAUAGACGAGCUGUUGAAAAAUUGGAAAGAUUGCCCACUGCCGGGAAAGAAGCAAAAGGCGCCAGAGCCGGGAAAGAAGCGAAAGGCGCCAGAGCCACUGCUGAAGGUAUGGAAAACGAGGUCUGUUUUCUGGGACUUGCCGUACUGGAAGAUCCACCGUGUGCCUCACAGCCUUGAUGUCAUGCAUAAGAACGUGUGCGAGAGUCUGCUUGGUACCCUGCUCAACAUGCCAGAGAGGACCAAAGAUGGGCCGAAAGCAAGGGCAGACUUGAAAUCAAUGGGCAUCAGGGAGGAGCUUCACGCUAAUGAUGAUGAUGAUGAUGAGGCGAAGCAGGACACGGAAAGUCGUCGCAAAGGCAAAAAGGCCAAGAAGACCGGAAAUGACUUCCCUCCCGCGUGCUUCACUCUAAGUCAGGAGGAGAUCGAUCAGUUUUUCACCUGCCUCGUAGGAGUAAAACUUCCUUACGGUUACGCGGGGAAGAUAAGCAGAUACCUAGACUCAGUGAAGCAGAAGUUCAGCGGGAUGAAGUCUCACGACUGUCACGUGCUGAUGACGCAGAUUCUUCCAGUUGCAAUCCGUGGGAUCAUGGACGCGCACGUCCGUGAAACGCUAUUUGGCCUAUGCAACUUUUUCGACGUCAUCUCUCGGAAGUCGGUUGGCGUGAGGCAACUCAAAAGGCUACAGGAAGAGAUCGUGGUGAUACUAUGCGAGCUUGAGAUGUACUUCCCUCCCGCAUUCUUCGACGUUAUGGUGCAUCUGCUGGUCCAUAUCGUGGAGGAUAUCAUCCAACUCGGGCCGACGUUCCUGCACAGCAUGAUGCCGUUCGAAAGGAUGAAUGGUGUCAUCAAAGGAUACGUUCGCAACAUGUCACGUCCAGAGGGAAGCAUAACCAGGGGCUUUCUGACCGAAGAGUGCAUCUCCUACUGCACGAAUUAUCUAGGCAUCGAGAACCCCGUUGGUCUCCGUCAACAGGCACCUCGCAGGCUCGCUGGAUGGGGUCACCGUGAGGGUCGUCGCGAAAUGCAUGUCGACUUCGAUGGUCGACUCGCCGACUUUGAAAGAGCAAACCUAGUCGCGCUACAACACAUAGACGUGGUCGAUCCUUGGGUGGUAGAGCACAAAACGUUUAUUGAGAAGACGUACAAUGACCGAGGCCAACAGAGGACAGACGGAGAUAUAAUCAAAGAGCACAACUCAUGUUUCACGCGUUGGUUCAAGCAGAAGCUUCUGUCGUACCCUUUACAUGAGGAUUCUUCCGCGGAAGAACAACUCAUGUUCGCCUUGUCACAGGGCGCCGAGCACAACCUGAUGACGUAUGAGGCGUACGAUAUCAACGGCUACACAUUCUACACCGAGGACAAGGACAUGAAGAGCGAUGGUUAUCAGAACUCCGGGGUAACGAUGGAAUCCUACACCGGUAACGACAAGGAUAGAUACUACGGAAGGAUCGAGGAGAUCUGGGAGCUGAGCUACGCUGGAGAGAAGGUCCCGAUGUUCCGUGUCAGAUGGGCCAAGAGCGUCAUAAAAGAAGACCGGUAUUUCACCACCAUGGUUAUACCCGAAGCCAAAUCCAAGACCGCAGGCGCGAACGUCACCGCGAAAAAUAAGCCAUGGGUACUGGCUUCCCAAGUGGACCAAUGCUUCUUCAUUACCGACCCAUCAAAGCCCAGUCGUGUUGUCGUGAGGAGAGGCAAAAGGAAGAUCAUCGGAAUGGAUGGAGUCGCCAAUGAGCAAGACUUCGACAAGUACGGCGACCCGAAGAUGGAACAUGACGACGACGAUGAAGUAUCAGCAUACACCACAAGAAGAAGCAGGACCACCCUACCUAAAGGACGUCCGUUCAAGAGAAGAACUCCAUUUACGAAAAAUAAGGGCAAGAAGAUUGUGAACAGAUAGCUAGCUAAGAUCGAUUGUAUUUAAAUUGUAGCCUUCAUUUCUCGAUUGUAUUUCAUGAGCACUUUUUGAACUCAUGAAUGUUUUUAAAUUUCAUGGACACUCGAUCUCGCACCAUCUCCCCCGCUCCACCGGCCGCCGCNNNNNNNNNNNNNNNNNNNNNNNNNNNNNNNNNNNNNNNNNNNNNNNNNNNNNNNNNNNNNNNNNNNNNNNNNNNNNNNNNNNNNNNNNNNNNNNNNNNNNNNNNNNNNNNNNNNNNNNNNNNNNNNNNNNNNNNNNNNNNNNNNNNNNNNNNNNNNNNCCCGCACCCUCCCCCACUCCACCGCCGCCGACGACCCAACGCACCCUCCCCCGCUCCACCGGCCGUCGCCGACGACCCCCCGCACCCUCCCCGGCCCGCUCCUGGUGUUUUUAUAAAAAAAAAUUACAGUUAUGAUUUAAACAAGUUUGAACAUAUGUAAACACAAAUAAAUAUCAAACAGCAUUUUAAAUGCAUAAAAAUAAAAAUUGGGGAGCCUGGGAAUCGAACCCAGGACCUCCUAGUGUGUGUGCUGCGUGCUGACCAGUCGGGCUAGUGGGCGUGUUCUGAUGGAGAUAGGGUUAGGUGGGAUAUAACCUGACCAGUCGGGCUAGUAAGUAAAACCGAAUUCUAAUGGCGCACCAGGGGGAGGUGCGCCAUUAGAGUUGACGUACUUAUGGCGCACCAGGGGGAGGUGCGCCAUUAGAAUCGACGUACUUGUUCCUCGCACUGUGGCCUCCCUCCCUCCCGCUCGCCAGAUCCCCCACUCGAUCGACCCCAACCGUACGCCGCCGCCCCCUUGCUCCGCCCCCUCCGUCCGCCGCGCCUGCACGCCGUCCGCUGCUGUGGUCUUGCGCUGCCUCAACGCCGCCGCCCCGACCCCCGCGGGACUCCACACCCGCCGCCCCCGCGUCCCCCGAACGGGCUCGGCCGAGCGCGCGCCGCCCGCUCCUCUCCUCUCCUCCUCCCUCCGACGAGCGAGGGCCUCCUCCGGCCCCUGCAGCAGCCGGCGAGCGCGGCCCCGACGCGCCCAUCCCGCCUGCCCCUGCCGUCCUCCGCCACCGGCCCCUGCUCUCCUUCGACCGCGGCGAGCGAGGACCCGGACGAGCGAGGACCCCGACCGCGACCCCUUCGCCGACCCCGACCCCGACCCCUCCGGCGACCAGGUACCUCUCCUCCUUCCUCCUUCCUCUGGCGACCCCGACCCCUUCUCUUGUCCUUUGGCAUCUAGAAUUAUGUCAGUUUGGGAGCCUGUAGUAUUAGCCUAGAAAACAAUUGUUGGUGUAGUAUUAGCAAAUCUGGGUCACUAGAUCAAAAAAAUAAACGGUCCAAAAUAACUUGUUGUACUGUAAAAGGUCUAAGAAUUUUUUUAGUACUUGUGCAUCAGGCUCGUAUUGUCUUGACUUAGUAUUGACAUUAUUAGUUCUAUACAGUCAAAGUUAACCCCGAGCAAGGUUUUGGUUACCGAAUGAGGCAAUUUUACCGAGGGUGACUGAUAAACGUGGUUACCACGGUUACCGGGAAAUACCGAGAAAUACCGAGAAUAUUUCGAACGAAUUUUAUAGUUGAAUUUUGAAUUCAAAUAAAUGAAUGAACGAACAUUCAAACCAAAGACCUGUCAAAACAGGAACUAGGUUGCUAUGAACACGUCAGAAUCAACUCUCCUUGCAUUAAUUAGAUCCUAGGCACUUUACUACAAAUCGAGCGUUAAAAUUCAAAAUUUUCAAAAAUAAUGGUAUUUUUUGCUCGGUAUGUGGAUUUACCGAGGGGCACGGAAAUACGCGGUAACCAUGGGAAAUCUUGAAAUUUCGACUGGUAACCAAAACCUUGACCCCGAGUCAGUAGGGAUAUAUUCGAAACUUUAUGUAUGUCCAUUUUAGGUGGAGCAAAUAGAGCCUUCAAUAUUUUGGGAACAAGGUAUGCAAGAUGGCGCCCCUAACUCUAAAGAACAAGAGCAUCACCAGCAUGGUACAUCCUAGAUAAUUUCGGUUUUCGUAAUUCUUAAUUGUCUAAGAAUUUUUUAGUGCCCACUUGAUGUGGAGAACCAAUGGUUUGAUUGUGAGGAAUUUUAACAGGGUCCCUCUUACCUCCUCUUUUCACAUGGGAGCUACGAAGGUAAGAGUUAGUUAACAGAUGAAUAGGAAUCAUUGUCAUCAAAGAAAAAAAAUGAGACUAGAGAACUGACAUCUCUUCUUCGAUGCAAAGACCUGAACAAUUUUUAUUCCUUUAUAGAUGAUCGGUAACAACUACUAAUUACACGUCACAGUACAUAGCACGGUCAUCCAUCACACACAAGCAGGAGGCAUAGGCUAGGUAGGACAAAGCAUCGAUGGCUGGUUUUCAAAAUGAAAGGCCUCCAGGAUCUCACUUUGAACAGCUUGCAUGGCAAAAUUCAGGAAAGGGUUUGCUGACGGCUCCCGCCCACAGAUUUGAUGACAUGCGUACGUGAAUGUGCAAGACGCAUCUGUGAUUUUACGGAGUUUGCUGUACCAACCAGUCGGGUCUUGCGGUGCGGUGGCGGCGGAGUUCUGGAGUGGUCGCACCCAGGGCACUUGUGGCGCCCGGACCCGGGGAUCGGUGGCGGGGGAACCACUCCUGGACGGCCUCCU